UUAACACAUGCAAGUCGAGGGGCAGCAUGGUCUUAUCUUGCUAAGGCCGAUGGCGACCGGCGCACGGGUGAGUAACACGUAUCCAACCUGCCGUCUACUCUUGGACAGCCUUCUGAAAGGAAGAUUAAUACAAGAUGGCAUCAUGAGUCCGCAUGUUCACAUGAUUAAAGGUAUUCCGGUAGACGAUGGGGAUGCGUUCCAUUAGAUAGUAGGCGGGGUAACGGCCCACCUAGUCUUCGAUGGAUAGGGGUUCUGAGAGGAAGGUCCCCCACAUUGGAACUGAGACACGGUCCAAACUCCUACGGGAGGCAGCAGUGAGGAAUAUUGGUCAAUGGGCGAGAGCCUGAACCAGCCAAGUAGCGUGAAGGAUGACUGCCCUAUGGGUUGUAAACUUCUUUUAUAAAGGAAUAAAGUCGGGUAUGGAUACCCGUUUGCAUGUACUUUAUGAAUAAGGAUCGGCUAACUCCGUGCCAGCAGCCGCGGUAAUACGGAGGAUCCGAGCGUUAUCCGGAUUUAUUGGGUUUAAAGGGAGCGUAGAUGGAUGUUUAAGUCAGUUGUGAAAGUUUGCGGCUCAACCGUAAAAUUGCAGUUGAUACUGGAUAUCUUGAGUGCAGUUGAGGCAGGCGGAAUUCGUGGUGUAGCGGUGAAAUGCUUAGAUAUCACGAAGAACUCCGAUUGCGAAGGCAGCCUGCUAAGCUGCAACUGACAUUGAGGCUCGAAAGUGUGGGUAUCAAACAGGAUUAGAUACCCUGGUAGUCCACACGGUAAACGAUGAAUACUCGCUGUUUGCGAUAUACAGCAAGCGGCCAAGCGAAAGCGUUAAGUAUUCCACCUGGGGAGUACGCCGGCAACGGUGAAACUCAAAGGAAUUGACGGGGGCCCGCACAAGCGGAGGAACAUGUGGUUUAAUUCGAUGAUACGCGAGGAACCUUACCCGGGCUUAAAUUGCAGAUGAAUUACGGUGAAAGCCGUAAGCCGCAAGGCAUCUGUGAAGGUGCUGCAUGGUUGUCGUCAGCUCGUGCCGUGAGGUGUCGGCUUAAGUGCCAUAACGAGCGCAACCCUUGUUGUCAGUUACUAACAGGUUCCGCUGAGGACUCUGACAAGACUGCCAUCGUAAGAUGUGAGGAAGGUGGGGAUGACGUCAAAUCAGCACGGCCCUUACGUCCGGGGCUACACACGUGUUACAAUGGGGGGUACAGAGGGCCGCUACCACGCGAGUGGAUGCCAAUCCCAAAAACCUCUCUCAGUUCGGACUGGAGUCUGCAACCCGACUCCACGAAGCUGGAUUCGCUAGUAAUCGCGCAUCAGCCACGGCGCGGUGAAUACGUUCCCGGGCCUUGUACACACCGCCCGUCAAGCCAUGGGAGCCGGGGGUACCUGAAGUGCGUAACCGCGAGGAGCGCCCUAGGGUAAAACUGGUGACUGGGGCUAAGUCGU
rnacentral:rRNA from 1 species